UGAGUUUGUUUUAUCGUAACCUGUAGAGACUGUCGAGGACACAUGCAUUGUGUCGCUUUGUACUUGCGGGUUCACUUCAAUAAGACAACUUGGGAGACAAGAACAACACCACCUGUAAACUCGUGGACUUCUGCCAGAACUCCCCAGACCGUCCAUGCAUUACAUUGCAUUCGGUUUUUUUUUUUUGGUUUUUGUUUAGAUAAGCUACUCACAAAAAGUUUGGAUUUUUUUUUCUCCAGUGACAAUUCCAGAUGAACCCAAAUCGCAUUGUAACCUUCACAGGUGAACUUCAUUUGACCUUUUGAAUGUCCAACUGUUCAAUCUUUCAGUGCGUUUUGCACAAAUUGCUGUUCAACAACAACGAUCUGCACGGCAAAACCUUGAUGCGACUCUUCCAGUUUCACUGUAUCUCAGUUGUCCAAAAUCCCUAACUUUUUGUGAGUCGUGUCUGUUGAGUGUGUGUUAUUCUGCUUUUGUUAAAAAUAAGUCAUAAAAAUUAUGUAUUUUUUCAAAAAAUAAA